CCCGAGUUGCUUUGAAUAAUCCUUUUAUUAAACACAUGGACGUGGAAUACGCGAUUCUGGCACGAGACAUGCCGCUACCUCAGGGGAUGACACAACCCAUGGUGAAAUCAGGUGGAGUGCGUGAAAAUGCAGCAGCUUCGUAUGUUUCGCCUAAUUCACACACGACAGCUACAAUUGAGGAUGGAGGUGAUCAACCCCAGCUGUAGCAACCGAUGAAGAUGAUCUCGAGGAGGGCGGUCUUUGUUAAAAGCGUAUUUGCGUGCAGUACAACCGUUGACGAAAUAACUUUCAUGUCCUAGUCGUUAAAUUCAUAAAUGUACAGCUUUUAAGGAUAAAAAAAAACAACGUGCAUAGGUAAUGUAGUCGGUUAUUAACAUUAAUUAAUCAGGCGUGAUGAUUUGUUGAAGGGUUUUGAAACGUUCUAGACUUUAACGCAAUGCUAUGAGUUGUUAUAAGUGCAUUUUCAAUUCUAUCGAAUAAGUAUAUUCAAGUUAUCGUAAGUGUAAACACUGAUUCAUUCCAGUUGAGUUGAGAAAUGUGUACGUUUUUUCAAAAUUAGCACUAAAAUAAUUACAUUGGGCUGACGAAAAUUAAUUGUGCGCAUGAAUGAUUAGAUACUAUACUCUUGUUAAUGUACUUAUGUACUUACUUAAAUCAAUUUCAAUCGAGGAUGUGCAGUUGUUAUUUAUUGCUCGGUUAAAGACAAAAUUAGAUGAAAACUACCUGAAAACAAGUUUAAAUUAUAAAAUUUAACUGUUUUUAUCUUUUAAUGAAGUAUUUUACUUGUUUUUCUUCAAAUUUGUUUUGUUUUAAGCUGUUUUUUGCGUUUUUAACAAGAAAAUAAGAAAAAUUUUAAUUUUGAGGUUAAAAAUAACAACUACAUGAUUUGCUCAUCAAUAUAAUAGUAUAUAUUUUUAAUAUAUAUAUAUAAUAUAUUUCCUGUAACGGUUACAUUCAUCUAUAUUUUAAAUAGAAUAUAUUAUAACAUAUUUUACAAUUACAAACAAUUACAGUGUUACGAAGUCAUUGUCGGUUAUCUUUCGAGCAAAAAAUCGUCGGCAAAGCAAAAGAUUUAGCUAACUAUCGUAAACUAAUCACAAAUCGAGAUAAAAUCGUAAACUAUACAAAUACAUAUGGAAUUAUUCAAAGAAAGCAAAAGAUACCAAUGCGUAUUAGCACUCGUACUAAACUUAAAUGUAAAUAUUAUCCAAAAAUAAAUGCACAUUUUUAAGUUUACGCCCUGGCGCAGAAGAAAUGUUCAAGAA